rnacentral:rRNA from 1 species
UACGAAGGGGGCUAGCGUUGCUCGGAAUCACUGGGCGUAAAGGGCGCGUAGGCGGCCUGGCAAGUGGAAGGUGAAAUCCCUCGGCUUAACCGAGGAACUGCCCUCCAAACUGCUUGGCUUGAGUUCGGGAGAGGUGAGUGGAACUGCGAGUGUAGAGGUGAAAUUCGUAGAUAUUCGCAAGAACACCAGUGGCGAAGGCGGCUCACUGGCCCGAUACUGACGCUGAGGCACGAAAGCGUGGGGAGCAAACAGG